AUGCACCUUAUAAUUUUUGGCUAAAGGCAGUAAACUGUAAAGUAAUUAAUAAAUUUACCAGCAGAGAACGAUAACGUUUUUACUGUCGCAAAGGUUACGAUGCAAGAAAGUGCAAUUGAUAACAGAUAAAGAUCUAAAUAAGUCAAAUGUGGAUUCAACUUAAUAUGGUGGAAUGGUGGUGCUAUGCAAGUCUGAUUUAUUUUUAAUCACUGUAUCUACCUACCUAUAGUAAAAAAACCACUUAAGAGAUGUACAAAGGCUGGUGAUGAAGUGGUUUUGCUUGGUGAUUUAGGAUAUGCUCCAAGCGCCUCACUAUGGAUCGAAAUUGCGAUUUAUGGACAUAGCAAUUUUUUUCACAAUUUCUAUUUGAAAAAAUUACCUAUCGAUAGGUUACGUUAUUCUGAUGAAUAAAUGCUGCACAAGUUUUUCUCUAAAACCAAUAGUUUGGCUGGAAAAAAAUAUUUUCCAUUUUCGUUGUAUGGAAUGAAACAUAAAGUGGUCGAUUUUGACUAAGCCUU